UAAAGGCUCACCAAGCCUUCGAUCUGUAGCUGGUCUGAGAGGACGACCAGCCACACUGGGACUGAGACACGGCCCAGACUCCUACGGGAGGCAGCAGUGGGGAAUUUUGGACAAUGGGCGCAAGCCUGAUCCAGCCAUGCCGCGUGCAGGAUGAAGGCCUUCGGGUUGUAAACUGCUUUUGUACGGAACGAAACGGCUCUUUCUAAUAAAGAGGGCUAAUGACGGUACCGUAAGAAUAAGCACCGGCUAACUACGUGCCAGCAGCCGCGGUAAUACGUAGGGUGCAAGCGUUAAUCGGAAUUACUGGGCGUAAAGCGUGCGCAGGCGGUGAUGUAAGACAGUUGUGAAAUCCCCGGGCUCAACCUGGGAACUGCAUCUGUGACUGCAUCGCUGGAGUGCGGCAGAGGGGGAUGGAAUUCCGCGUGUAGCAGUGAAAUGCGUAGAUAUGCGGAGGAACACCGAUGGCGAAGGCAAUCCCCUGGGCCUGCACUGACGCUCAUGCACGAAAGCGUGGGGA
rnacentral:rRNA from 1 species